UGGUUCCUUCUUCACUAAAAUUCCUUUCCCUCCUCCGGAACCCUAGCCGCAUCUUUGCUUAUAGUGUUUCUUCUUUGUUUUUUCGACUUAAGCUUGUAACUGAACCCACACACAGAACUUCAUUCCCGUUCACCAGAUAAUUAAAAAAAAAGAUAAUUUUCUCUCAUCAAAAUCAAAAACCCAAAACUUCUCUUAGUUUUUGAUCUACCUUAACCGAAACCCAACUUCGAAUCUGAAUGAUUUUUGUUCGACAAAAAAAAUUCAUCAUCAAAAACAACAAUGCAAUAAGUUUCUUCCCAUUAAAAACCCAUAAAAUAAUUUCAUUUCCCAGUCAAAUUUUUAACCCGGUUCGUAUUCAAAUCAUUUACAAAUUAAAAUAUUCAAUUUGAUAGAGGAAAUCAGAGUUUAUCGAAGGAAAGAAAUUGAUUUGUUAAUUGGGUUUUUAUUUUAUUCGAAUUAGGCGUGGGUUUUUCUUUGUUUGAAGGAUUCGGAUGUUUGGGUAUCCUUCUGCAUCAUAGUUUGUAUUGAUUGUUCUUCUAAUGAAAGGUUAGUGGAGAUUUGAGUAAUUGCUGCUAUGGGAGGUGGGUGUGACAGAUGUAUGUUACAGAGGAGAUUGAUGAAAGGUUAACAAAGGUAUUGAAGCUAAGAAAAUCUAUUGUAGAAGGGGUCUGUUAUAAGAAUUAAAAUCUAUUGCAGAGGUGGAAUUUAUGUUGUUUCUUUGAGGGAUAGAUGAAUGCUCAGGAUUGCAAUGGAAGAAUGAAGCUGUUGAUGUUGGCUUACAAAGAAUUGCUGGUGCUGAUACUGGAUUGGACUGAAAUUGAAGCAAUUGUUGGUAUGGAUGUGAUAGUGGGUGACUAAACUGGUUCGUUGAAUUUGUCUGACAUAAGAGAAUGAGAUUGAAACUGGCAGUCAAGUUGAAGCUAUGAGUCUGGUUUUGGUAUUAGAAUAGAAGAUAGUGGUGUUGUGAUGCUUUUGGUUUUGGAGGUAUUGAAGCUGCAAGAGAAGUUACAGAUGGGAAGUUAUGCUUUGCAGUGUGCAGGGAAGGAGAUCAGACGGGUUAGAAGAACAUAUCAAUUCAUAUUUGCUAAUAUCAAGUCGUGCUCAAAACAUGUUUGAGGAAAUGCAUGAGUGCUAGUUGAAGCUGUUGUUGAUGUGAAACUUGGGUUUGUGUUAUUGUUGUGAAUAAGGGAUUGAAAUGCAUACAUGAUGGUACUAGCAGCAGAGUAUUGGUUUCCCGAUAUAUGUUCUUGUACAGCUUGGUGCAAAACUCAGUGUUGUAGCAUCGAUCGUUGGGUAGUCCAAAAUGAGUGUCUGACAAGUUGGUGAUUGGAAAAAAUUUCAGUGUUGCUGCAGUAGACGACCACCAACAGUACCCCAUACACCUCCAUCCUGGACUCCAUUUGCUGCAUACACAUCAGUUCCCGAAAAGAUUUGUACUGCUUCAGAAAGAGAUAUUGAUUAAACGGACUACAAGCACUGAAUGCCCCUCAAACCCUCUAUGUGAGAGCAAAUGCAAGGAAAUAAACCUUUUUGUUGUAAGGUCAAAGUUCUUGGGGAGCAAGUAGAGAUGGCAAAGAAACUGCAUAUAAUUGGUAUGAGCAGUGUUGAUGUGGAGCUGCGUCCCCAGCUCCAUCCCCAUCACCACCUCCACUCUACCACAUAUUCCACGCAUGCAGAGCCACGUAUGCGGUUGAUCAAACUGAAGUCUGAUGAGUAAGCUCAUGAAUGCUUACGGUGAAGCUAAACAACUUGAUAUGCAGACGAUCCGUUUCUUAUAUGAUAGUACUCGGAUUAAACCAGAGCAUACCCCUGAUGAACUUGGAAUAGAAGAUGGGGCUGAAAUUGAUGCCUUUCUGUACCAGUUUGGCGCUGGCUAUGGAAGAAACCACCAGAUGUGAACAUGCAAGGAACCGUAUAUAUAAAUGUGGGACUGAUUUUAGGUGUUUCGAGUGCAGUCAUAAGCCAAGGAAAAAUAGGUGGAGUUUAGAUCUACUUGAACUGUAGAACAUAUCUUGUCUGCUAGUAGUUUGUUUGUUAUUCCAUCUCCUAUGAAGAACUUUGGUGCUCUGAAAACUUGUAUUUGAUUUCUAAAUCGGAUACUGAUCUACUAAUGCGUUUGUGUUAAUGCUGAA